rnacentral:rRNA from 1 species
CACGUAGGGGGCGAGCGUUGUCCGGAAUUAUUGGGCGUAAAGAGCUCGUAGGCGGUGUGUCGCGUCGGCCGUGAAAACUUGAGGCUUAACUCUGAGCGUGCGGUCGAUACGGGCAUCACUUGAGUUCGGCAGGGGAGACUGGAAUUCCUGGUGUAGCGGUGAAAUGCGCAGAUAUCAGGAGGAACACCGGUGGCGAAGGCGGGUCUCUGGGCCGAUACUGACGCUGAGGAGCGAAAGCAUGGGGAGCGAACAGG